rnacentral:rRNA from 1 species
CAGUCGCCACGGGAAUACGUAGGUGGCAAGCGUUGUCCGGAAUUAUUGGGCGUAAAGCGAGCGCAGGCGGUUAGAUAAGUCUGAAGUUAAAGGCUGUGGCUUAACCAUAGUAUGCUUUGGAAACUGUUUAACUUGAGUGCAGAAGGGGAGAGUGGAAUUCCAUGUGUAGCGGUGAAAUGCGUAGAGAUCGGAAAGAACACCAACGGCGAAAGCACUCUGCUGGGCCGACACUGACACUGAGAGACGAAAGCUAGGGGAGCAAAUGGGAUUAGAGACCCGCGUAGUCCCUGUCUCUUAUACA